rnacentral:rRNA from 1 species
UUCCGGUUGAUCCUGCCGGACCUGACUGCUAUCGGAUUGAUACUAAGCCAUGCGAGUCUUUGCAGUAAUGCAAGGCAUACGGCUCAGUAACACGUAGUCAACUUACCCUAUGGACGAGGAUAAUCUCGGGAAACUGAGCAUAAUACUCGAUAGAUCAUAAUGCCUGGAAUGGUUUAUGGUUGAAAUGAUUCGUCGCCAUAGGAUGGGACUGCGGCCUAUCAGCUUGUUGGUGAGGUAAUGGCCCACCAAGGCGAUUACAGGUACGGGCUCUGAGAGGAGAAACCCGGAGAUGGGUACUGAGACAAGGACCCAGGCCCUAUGGGGCGCAGCAGGCGAGAAAACUUUGCAAUGUGCGAAAGCACGACAAGGUUAAUCCGAGUGAUUUCUGCUAAAGAAAUCUUUUGCAAGUCAUAAGACCACUAGUGAAUAAGGGGUGGGCAAGUUCUGGUGUCAGCCGCCGCGGUAAAACCAGCACCUCAAGUGGUCAGGAGGAUUAUUUGGGCCUAAAGCAUCCGUAGCCGGCUCUGUAAGUUUUCGGUUAAAUCCAUGUGCUCAACGCAUGGGCUGCCGAAAAUACUGCAUAGCUAGGGAGUGGGAGAGGUAGAC